rnacentral:rRNA from 1 species
GUGAGGAAUAUUGGGCAAUGGGCGAAAGCCUGACCCAGCCACGCCGCGUGAGUGAUGAAGGCCUUCGGGUUGUAAAGCUCUGUGGGGAGGGAAGAAAAAGCGGGAGAGUAACUGCUCUCGUGUUGACGGUACCUCCUUAGCAAGCACCGGCUAACUCUGUGCCAGCAGCCGCGGUAAUACAGAGGGUGCAAACGUUGCUCGGAAUUACUGGGCGUAAAGCGCGUGUAGGCUGACAUGCAAGUCGGGUGUGAAAUACCAGGGCUCAACCUUGGAACUGCACUCGAAACUGCACGUCUUGAGUACUGGAGAGGGAAGCGGAAUUCCGGGUGUAGAGGUGAAAUUCGUGGAUAUCCGGAGGAACACCAGUGGCGAAGGCGGCUUCCUGGACAGUAACUGACGCUGAGACGCGAAAGCGUGGGGAGCAAACAGGAUUAGAAACCCGUGUAGUCC